GGGCCCGCACAAGCGGAGGAGCAUGUGGUUUAAUUCGAUGAUACGCGAGGAACCUUACCAAGGCUUAAAUGUAAUAUGACCGGUUGAGAGAUCAACCUUUUUUCGAACAGAUUACAAGGUGCUGCAUGGUUGUCGUCAGCUCGUGCCGUGAGGUGUCGGGUUAAGUCCCAUAACGAGCGCAACCCCUAUUUUUAGUUACCAGCGAGUAAUGUCGGGAACUCUAGAAAACUGCCUGUGCAAACAGAGAGGAAGGUGGGGAUGACGUCAAAUCAUCACGGCCCUUAUGUCUUGGGCUACACACGUGCUACAAUGGUUACUACAAUGUGAUGCCAUCUGGUGACAGAGAGCUAAUCAAUAAAGGUAAUCUCAGUUCGGAUCGGAGUCUGCAACUCGACUCUGUGAAGUUGGAUUCGCUAGUAAUCGUAUAUC
rnacentral:rRNA from 1 species